rnacentral:pre_miRNA from 13 species
UUCAAAAGUUGUUGGGUUUGGCUGGGCAGCCAGAUCCAGUGCUAUUGGGUCCUGUUAGACAACGCUAUUUGGUCUUGUCAAGCUAGAUCCAACAUUACUUUUUGACU